rnacentral:rRNA from 1 species
UACGUAGGGUGCAAGCGUUGUCCGGAAUUAUUGGGCGUAAAGGGCUCGUAGGCGGUCCAUCGCGUCGGGAGUGAAAAGCUGGGGCUUAACCCCAGUCCUGCUUCCGAUACGGGUGGACUAGAGGUAGGUAGGGGGAGAACGGAAUUCCUGGUGUAGCGGUGAAAUGCGCAGAUAUCAGGAGGAACACCAGUGGCGAAGGCGGCCAACUGGCCCGACACUGACGCUCAUGUGCGAAAGCGUGGGGAGCAAACAGG